rnacentral:rRNA from 1 species
GAUGAACGCUAGCGGCGUGCCUAAUACAUGCAAGUCGAGCGAACAGACGAGGAGCUUGCUCCUCUGACGUUAGCGGCGGACGGGUGAGUAACACGUGGAUAACCUACCUAUAAGACUGGGAUAACUUCGGGAAACCGGAGCUAAUACCGGAUAAUAUAUUGAACCGCAUGGUUCAAUAGUGAAAGACGGUUUUGCUGUCACUUAUAGAUGGAUCCGCGCCGCAUUAGCUAGUUGGUAAGGUAAUGGCUUACCAAGGCAACGAUGCGUAGCCGACCUGAGAGGGUGAUCGGCCACACUGGAACUGAGACACGGUCCAGACUCCUACGGGAGGCAGCAGUAGGGAAUCUUCCGCAAUGGGCGAAAGCCUGACGGAGCAACGCCGCGUGAGUGAUGAAGGUCUUCGGAUCGUAAAACUCUGUUAUUAGGGAAGAACAAAUGUGUAAGUAACUAUGCACGUCUUGACGGUACCUAAUCAGAAAGCCACGGCUAACUACGUG